GGUGAAGUAUUUGGCUGAAGCAGUUGGUGCUGGAAUUGGAGGUUCCUUACCAGGAUUUAUGAAGAAAGUUUUCAAUGGUUAAAUAACAUACGAAGAUGAUUCGGAAAAUUUCAUUGCGAGAAACCUUCUCUUAGGGGUUCGGCUUUUCUAAGUUUAAAGUUGCAAUAUUUCGGCUUUUCUGAGUUUAAAGUUGCAAUAUCUCGCCUCUUUUCUAAUUACCCCUCAAUUCUUACAGAUUCUUUUUGUUUCGUUGUCUAGAAGUUGUUGAGAAAAAUGUGUUUCCUGUUGGCAUGGGCUUGGAAUGUGAACCAGUUCUAUUGGUAGUUUGUGUGUAUAUCAAUAAAAAUUCCUGUUAAGAUUAGACUAAUAAAGAGCUAAAAUUCCACCACUGUGAUAGAUAUUUUAUCCUUGGUAUACGUGCGGGGAUGUUAGUUUUUUAUGUUCUUUGCUUAUUGUUUAAUCACGUCAGCUUCCAUGAUAAUUAUAUUUAGUGAUUCAGAUUACAUCAUAUGGUAGAUUGUACAGGUAGACAUGAUUUUAGCGCAAGUAACAUUCUUCCAUCCUGAUUUUGUCCAGAUAUCAGGAAAAAAAGGAGUAAAAUCUGCUCUUUCUCCUCCCAUUGAACCUCAAUAUGAAGUUCAGAGAAAUACAUAAUGCUUAGCCAAACAUGGCAAAAUGAGAUAUCAACAUAGGAAGUCAUGGCAAAAAUAUUUGCAUCCCCCCGAGGAGCAUUAUUUAAAAUCCAAAAUUUGAGGUGCAAAAUCCCCUUCAGAACCUAGUUUUGUCCGUCUGGAG
rnacentral:lncRNA from 1 species